UUAAUACCCACGGACGAUGACAUUAGCUGCAGAAUAAGCACCGGCUAACUCUGUGCCAGCAGCCGCGGUAAUACAGAGGGUGCAAGCGUUAAUCGGAAUUACUGGGCGUAAAGGGAGCGUAGGUGGCUCUAUAAGUCAGAUGUGAAAUCCCCGGGCUUAACCUGGGAACUGCAUCUGAAACUGUAGAGCUAGAGUAUGUGAGAGGAAGGUAGAAUUCCAGGUGUAGCGGUGAAAUGCGUAGAGAUCUGGAGGAAUACCGAUGGCGAAGGCAGCCUUCUGGCAUAAUACUGACACUGAGGCUCGAAAGCGUGGGUAGCAAACAGGAUUAGAUACCCUGGUAGUCCACGCCGUAAACGAUGUCUACUAGUCGUUGGGUCCCUUGAGGACUUAGUGACGCAGCUAACGCAAUAAGUAGACCGCCUGGGGAGUACGGCCGCAAGGUUAAAACUCAAAUGAAUUGACGGGGGCCCGCACAAGCGGUGGAGCAUGUGGUUUAAUUCGAUGCAACGCGAAGAACCUUACCUGGUCUUGACAUAUCUAGAAUCCUGCAGAGAUGCGGGAGUGCCUUCGGGAAUUAGAAUACAGGUGCUGCAUGGCUGUCGUCAGCUCGUGUCGUGAGAUGUUGGGUUAAGUCCCGCAACGAGCGCAACCCUUGUCCUUAGUUACCAGCGGGUUAAGCCGGGAACUCUAAGGAUACUGCCAGUGACAAACUGGAGGAAGGCGGGGACGACGUCAAGUCAUCA
rnacentral:rRNA from 1 species